GGCCGAGGAGGCGUUCAUAAAUCGCGGGAUUGGAUUCCGAGUGUCGUAGCAAGAAACCGAAGACCUUUAAUCUCCAGAUCGUGAAUCGGAGGUCGUUCGGUGGUCGCGCGUGGAUUGGGUCGAGCCGAGCGGCGUGCGCCGCGGGAGGCCGAUUGCGGGUGACGACGAGCAAUCGGAACGCGAUAAAAGGUGGGGGGUGUCCAUCCCGAAGCAAUUGAGCUUCU
rnacentral:lncRNA from 1 species